GGGAUAUUGCACAAUGGGCGCAAGCCUGAUGCAGCGACGCCGCGUGGGUGAUGAAGGCCUUCGGGUCGUAAAGCCCUGUCGAGGGGAAAGAAACGGUCUCGACCUAACACGUCGGGUCCCUGACGGUACCCCUAAAGGAAGCACCGGCUAACUCCGUGCCAGCAGCCGCAGUAAUACGGAGGGUGCGAGCGUUGUUCGGAAUCCCUGGGCGUAAAGGGCGUGUAGGCGGUCCGCUAAGUCUGAUGUGAAAGCCCGGGGCUCACCCCCGGAAGGGCAUUGGAAACUGACGGACUCGAGUCCCGAAGAGGAGGGUGGAAUUCCUGGUGUAGCGGUGAAAUGCGUAGAUAUCAGGAGGAACACCGGUGGCGAAGGCGGCCCUCUGGACGGUGACUGACGCUGAGACGCGAAAGCGUGGGGAGCAAAC
rnacentral:rRNA from 1 species